rnacentral:rRNA from 1 species
UACAGAGGUCUCAAGCGUUGUUCGGAUUCAUUGGGCGUAAAGGGUGCGUAGGCGGCGCGGUAAGUCGGGUGUGAAAUCUCGGAGCUUAACUCCGAAACUGCAUUCGAUACUGCCGUGCUUGAGGACUGGAGAGGAGACUGGAAUUUACGGUGUAGCGGUGAAAUGCGUAGAUAUCAGGAGGAACACCAAUAGCGAAGGCAGCUCGCUGGGACGGUACUGACGCUGAGACGCGAAAGCGUGGGGAGCAAACAGG